UCAAACUGGAGAUGGCGACCGGCGCACGGGUGAGUAACACGUAUCCAACCUGCCGAUAACUCGGGAAUAGCCUUUCGAAAGAAAGAUUAAUACCCGAUGGCAUAGUUCUUCCGCAUGGUAGAACUAUUAAAGAAUUUCGGUCAUCGAUGGGGAGUGCGUUCCAUUAGGUUGUUGGCGGGGUAACGGCCCACCAAGCCUUCGAUGGAUAGGGGUUCUGAGAGGAAGGUCCCCCACAUUGGAACUGAGACACGGUCCAAACUCCUACGGGAGGCAGCAUG
rnacentral:rRNA from 1 species